GCACUGCCAUUGCAGCGCCAUCUAGAGCUUAAAACAUUUUGCCACUGUGGUGAACUGUUGAGUAACAGCUUUUGGUUUGUGAACGCAGCGAAAACUUUAUGGGAGCGCAGUCAACUUCACGCAGGUUCGAAUUUAUCCGCGUAACUAAAUGUUGCAUGCUUGGUAGUACGAUCGAAACAUUACUGCAUAGAAUUAAUUAGGCCGCUAAUAAACGUUUUAGUUGCGCCUAGUGCUAUGCAAACUAAGCCCCCAAGCUAACAGCUAAAGGGCAGCUCAUACUGCGCACUGGGAAACGUAACAACCAUACAUUACCAACCCCGCAAUGCUGUUACUAAAGAUAUUAAUGCUGCUGGUUGCUGGCCAAUUCUAUUUCCAAUGUGAUGCAUCCUGGAAAAUGUAUGUGAGUGGCGAUCGGCCGUGGCAUGUGCGAGCCCACAACAUGCAUCGACCUGCAGCAGAGUACACUACCACGGCAUGAGUGAAGAAGACCCCUUGGAUUUAUGAUGAAAAUAAAGCAUUUGCUAUAUUUCCUCCAUAUUCGUUUAUAGAUUUCGAGCAUUUCAGGUUUGGCAGCGGCCAUUAUUUAAUUUCAACUAUUCUUUUUGUUUCUGGCCGCUUAAAUAUACAUAGCGCCCCUGA